rnacentral:tRNA from 1 species
AUUCAAAUAGUUUAAGAUAGAAAAAAUGUAAGCUUGUGGUGCUUAAGAUGUGGUUUAACUUUGGAUA